UACGAAGGGUGCAAGCGUUACUCGGAAUUACUGGGCGUAAAGCGUGCGUAGGUGGUUUGUUAAGUCUGAUGUGAAAGCCCUGGGCUCAACCUGGGAACGGCAUUGGAAACUGGCUUACUAGAGUGCGGUAGAGGGGUGUGGAAUUCCCGGUGUAGCAGUGAAAUGCGUAGAUAUCGGGAGGAACAUCUGUGGCGAAGGCGACACCCUGGACCAGCACUGACACUGAGGCACGAAAGCGUGGGGGGCAAACAGG
rnacentral:rRNA from 1 species